GUGCAGAGUGCAGUGGCGUGGUCUCAUUGGGCUGAAAUCAAGGUGUGGGGAAGGCUGCAUUCCUUUCUGGAGGCUCAAGAGGAAAAUCUGUUUUCUUGCAGUUUUUCCAGUUUCUAGAAUCCACUGCAUUCUUUGGUUCAUGACCCCCUGCCAUCUUCAAAGGCUAGCAAUUGCAUCACUGCAGCCCUGCUUUCAUAGUCAAUCUUUUUAUCUGACUCUGGCUCUUCUUCUACUUCUCUCUCUCACAUUUAAGGAACCUUUUGAUUAUAUCAGCUUGCCCUGAAAAUCCAGAAUAAUCUCCCUAUUUUAAAGUUGGCUAGUUAGUGACCUUAAUGCCAUCUGCAAACUUAAUUCCUAUUUGCCAUAUAACAACAUAGUCACAGUUUCUGCAGAUUAAUACAUGGACACCUUGUGGGGGGCAUUAUCCAGUAUACCAUAGGGUUCAAAGGCCAAUGUGGCUAGCAGUAGCUUGGGGAAGAAUGGUCUCCUUUUCCUGUAGCCACAGACAACACAGGAGAGAGGCCAUGCUGGGUCCUAAGCCUGACUCGAAUAGGUGGCAAAGGGGCUAAGGAAAACCUUUCUCCAAGUUUAGCAUGAUGCCGUCCUUUCUCAAUUUUAGCUCUGCUCCAAUUCUUGACCUUAACCUCCACAUUCGGUGGGCAAAGAUGGGUGGUGAGUGAUUGUCAGAAGAAACAAAGAUAAGCAGACACCUUUAUCCCCAGUUAAGAGAUAUUUGCUUUCCAUGACCUCUUUCAUCCUCUCCUGGUCCUUUGGGCUCACAAACAUUGAAUCAUUCAGAUUUUGGUGGACAUCUUGGCAUGUGAUGUCUCUCCCAUCCCCAGAAUAACAUUGGCAUCUUCUCACUGACACAGGGAGGAGGAAAAGCAUCAUCUCCCUGGGUCUCUGAUUUGCAGAUGAAGAAAUGCAAGACGGUCACCUACUUCGAUUUGGGACCAAUCAUAACUCCAGAUCCCCAUGCUUAUGUGGUAUAGUGAGA
rnacentral:lncRNA from 10 species